GAUGAACGCUGGCGGCGUGCCUAAUACAUGCAAGUCGAGCGAACAGACGAGGAGCUUGCUCCUCUGACGUUAGCGGCGGACGGGUGAGUAACACGUGGAUAACCUACCUAUAAGACUGGGAUAACUUCGGGAAACCGGAGCUAAUACCGGAUAAUAUAUUGCACCGCAUGGUUCAAUAGUGAAAGACGGUUUUGCUGUCACUUAUAGAUGGAUCCGCGCCGCAUUAGCUAGUUGGUAAGGUAACGGCUUACCAAGGCAACGAUGCGUAGCCGACCUGAGAGGGUGAUCGGCCACACUAGAACGGAGACACGGUCCAGACUCCUACGGGAGGCAGCAGUAGGGAAUCUUCCGCAAUGGGCGAAAGCCUGACGGAGCAACGCCGCGUGAGUGAUGAAGGUCUUCGGAUCGUAAAACUCUGUUAUUAGGGAAGAACAAAUGUGUAAGUAACUAUGCACGUCUUGACGGUACCUAAUCAGAAAGCCACGGCUAACUACGUG
rnacentral:rRNA from 1 species